rnacentral:pre_miRNA from 1 species
ACUGCAGGAUUCAAUCGGCUGGUCGUUCAGGGGGGCACUGCAUGGAAACGCUAUCCGUAGUUGUCAUGGAGUUGCUCUCUUUAACGACCUGACCUAAUUGCG